rnacentral:rRNA from 1 species
UAGGGAAUCUUCCGCAAUGGGCGAAAGCCUGACGGAGCAACGCCGCGUGAGUGAUGAAGGUCUUCGGAUCGUAAAACUCUGUUAUUAGGGAAGAACAAAUGUGUAAGUAACUAUGCACGUCUUGACGGUACCUAAUCAGAAAGCCACGGCUAACUACGUGCCAGCAGCCGCGGUAAUACGUAGGUGGCAAGCGUUAUCCGGAAUUAUUGGGCGUAAAGCGCGCGUAGGCGGUUUUUUAAGUCUGAUGUGAAAGCCCACGGCUCAACCGUGGAGGGUCAUUAGAAACUGGAAAACUUGAGUGCAGAAGAGGAAAGUGGAAUUCCAUGUGUAGCGGUGAAAUGCGCAGAGAUAUGGGGGAACACCAGUGGCGAAGGCGACUUUCUGGUCUGUAACUGACGCUGAUGUGCGAAAGCGUGGGGAUCAAACAGG